UACGUAGGGUGCGAGCGUUGUCCGGAAUUAUUGGGCGUAAAGAGCUCGUAGGCGGCUUGUCGCGUCGGAUGUGAAAGCCCGGGGCUUAACUCCGGGUCUGCAUUCGAUACGGGCAGGCUAGAGUUCGGUAGGGGAGAUCGGAAUUCCUGGUGUAGCGGUGAAAUGCGCAGAUAUCAGGAGGAACACCGGUGGCGAAGGCGGAUCUCUGGGCCAUCACUGACGCUGAGGAGCGAAAGCGUGGGGAGCGAACAGG
rnacentral:rRNA from 1 species